AACAGAGCGAUGAACAAGAUACGAUUUCUAAUCCGCUUCCUAUAGAGAGCAUCCAGUUGGUGGAAAGGAUGCAGGUAAUGAUUAUGGGACCAUCCCUUGUGAGCUGUUUUCUUGAAAAUAAUAGUAAAGAAAUCCGUAAUUUCUGCGUUAAAGAAAUAGCAUUCAUGGGAUGUGAAGUGGUGAUGUAAAUCACAAUCUAAGUGGUACCGCGGAAACGAAGGUUUUCGUCUUAGUC
rnacentral:ncRNA from 1 species